rnacentral:rRNA from 1 species
GACGAACCGAGCGAACGUUAUUCGGAAUCACUGGGCUUAAAGGGCGCGUAGGCGGGCCGUCAAGUCAGGGGUGAAAGCCCCCAGCUCAACUGGGGAAGUGCCUCUGAUACUGACGGCCUCGAGGGAGAUAGGGGCGUGCGGAACCUCCGGUGGAGCGGUGAAAUGCGUAGAUAUCGGAAGGAACACCGGUGGCGAAAGCGGCGCGCUGGAUCUCUUCUGACGCUGAGGCGCGAAAGCUAGGGGAGCAAACAGG